ACCAGUCAUGAACCUCACUGCACGCCACUGUAUGUCAUGACAAACUGUGUUGAUACUGGUUUCUUUUUUUUCCGCAGAAGGAGGAAUCGAUGGUAAACAGGCGCUAAAACUCAAGCAUGAAGACCUGACAAGGAUGGGCAUAACGUAAAUGGGUUCACUUUGUUUUUAUCCACUUAAAUUCCCCUUCAUCCUCCUCAAGUUGUAUUUUCCUUUUUAUCUAGAGAUCGAAAGAAAAAUCUGGAAUACCUAAAUGUUAUCAAAAACCAACCCAAGGUGUUUAAUGAUCCUAUCCACGGAUCCAUCGAAUUACACCCAGUUCUUGUCAAAAUCAUUGACACGCCUCAGUUCCAGAGACUGUGGAACAUCAAGCAGCUUGGGGGCUCAUAUUAUGUUUACCCUGGAGCAUGUCACUCCCGCUUUGAGCACUCUAUUGGUGUCGCACACUUGGCAGGAGAGCUCGGAAAAAGUCUGAAAAACAAACAAAGUACUAUCAUCUCUGACAGAGACAUCCUUUGUGUGCAGAUUGCGGGUCUUUGUCAUGACCUUGGUGAGUGCUACACACUGUUUUUUCAAUAUAAACCUCAGAAAAAAACAGU
rnacentral:lncRNA from 1 species